GGUAUGGGAUGGACANGAUGCUUACAUUAGGCUGGCCCCAGAACCGGUGCUGUUUGGCUGUCGUCAGCUCGUGUCGUGAGAUGUUGGGUUAAGUCCCGCAACGAGCGCAACCCUCGCCCUUAGUUGCCAGCAUUUAGUUGGGCACUCUAAGGGGACUGCCGGUGAUAAGCCGAGAGGAAGGUGGGGAUGACGUCAAGUCCUCAUGGCCCUUACGGGCUGGGCUACACACGUGCUACAAUGGUGGUGACAGUGGGCAGCGAGACAGCGAUGUCGAGCUAAUCUCCAAAAGCCUNUCUCAGUUCGGAUUGCACUCUGCAACUCGAGUGCAUGAAGUUGGAAUCGCUAGUAAUCGCAGAUCAGCAUGCUGCGGUGAAUACGUUC
rnacentral:rRNA from 1 species